CUCAUCAAGAGCUGGUGGAGGGACGGGCCCGAUGAAACCCGGCAACCGGCUCCCGGUCGCCCCGGGAGCAGCGGUGCCAAUUCCCGCAGGCGUCCAUCCUGAGAGAUGAG
rnacentral:ncRNA from 1 species